UUACAGCCCCGAUUGAAGUGGAAAUCCUCCCGAUUUUUAUCGGGAGAUUGCAACGUAAAGCGGGAAAUAAG
rnacentral:sRNA from 1 species